rnacentral:tRNA from 1 species
GCCUGUGUAGCUCAAUUGGUUAGAGCGUGGGACUUUUAUAAGCUCCAAAGGCAUCUCAAGGCUUCGGGUUCGAGUCCCGACAUAGGCU